AGUAUGGCGGGUAAUUGGGCUGUUUGUGGUGUAUGCGAUUUCCGAAACAUCAACAAAGCAUCAAUAGUGUGGUGUUCAGAAUGUGACGAGGGACUUUGUGGCGAGUGUAGUGAACAACAUGGAGCCGUAAAAUCAUCUAGAAACCAUAGCGUUAUAUCUGUCACAGAGUACCAGAAACUACCAUCCAAUGUAUUAGAAAUUGCACAAACAUGUCAAAAACAUAAAGAACAAUAUCAAAUAUUCUGUAAGAAACAUGAUUGCCCGUGUUGUAGACGAUGUGUUAUAGAGACACACAAUGAGUGUAAAGAUUUGAUAGCAAUAGAUGACAUCGUCCAAAAUGUCAAGUCAUCGAGUGCAUUUUUCGA
rnacentral:lncRNA from 1 species